rnacentral:lncRNA from 1 species
CUAGCCUUCCCCCAAUUGCUGCCACUUCCACACACCUUUUUUAUGUCUUAAAAUCCUAUUUUGUUAUAUCUCUAACUGUACAACUUCUAAAACAAGUAGUUGAAGUUAUUUUAGAAGUAAUUUUAUUCUCAUGUAGCCUACACAAAGGGAAAUAGGAAAGGAGAGGCUAAUGAAAAAUGGUGUGUAAAUUUCUGAUAAUGUUCAGACGCGUUAAAUAUUCACUUAAGCAUAACCUUUCUGUUUACACUCAUGGAUUCUGUAGUUAAAAAAAAAAAAAAAGCACAUACUGUUGUAUGCAUCCAUUGUUGCUGACUGUCUACCUGAAAGUGCAUCAAAUGCCUCGUCCCAGGAGGCUGUUCUGAAUAGAGUAGAGAGGGAGGGAGGGGCAUGUCAUCAUAGGCAGUUCAGAGCUCUGGAAUGACACCAUGGUCCCUUGAGACUAGAGUACUGACAUCCAACACAAGUCCUUGUUUUUCUGCAAGGCUUUUUGUUAGACAACAGGCAGCACUCUAUGAAGAUUGAUACAGAAGUGUUGGGCUUCGUUUGCUGGAUCAUCAAACGGAUUGAUAUUAUACUCCAGCAGUGGAUGAAGACAAAUGCCAGAUGCAUGCGAUGUGAAUUCUGUAUGCCUGUAGCAAAGAGCAGAGGUGCCCUGCACUCUUUUCUUCUAGAUGGCACUCAGAUCCAGAGUGGUUACAGAGCAGUCAGAGCCAAAGCAGCAGAAAGAUCAUUAGAGAGGAUGGAGCUGGAAUGGCAGAGAGAAGAAAAUGAGGACAAAAUACUUCUGCAGCUUGCCAUCACAGGUUGGUAAUGAAAUAUCCAACAGAAGCUGAAGGAAGGCAUUGUUCUAAUUACAAAAUGGAAGUAUACCUCCAAAAGAGAAACUGACUUCUAAAAAAAAUAGUCUGUCCUAAACUUUGGACAUAGUGCGAUAUCCAUGUGACACAUUGUUAAUGCGUGAGAAGCAAUACUGUUAUUUACAAAUAAAUUCAAAUGAGGCAUCA